AGCCUUUGUGUUGCCCAUUCACUUUUGGAAACUAGUGAAUGUGGUGUCAAAAAAGGCAUAAAUAAAUGCUUCUGCAGCUGUUUCCGAUCCUUAAAUUUUGUAUCUUUGGUAUAGGAGCUGCUUAAGUAACAAUU
ensembl:snoRNA